rnacentral:rRNA from 1 species
CCUACGGGGAGCAGCAGUGGGGAAUAUUGGACAAUGGGCGAAAGCCUGAUCCAGCCAUGCCGCGUGUGUGAAGAAGGCCUUCGGGUUGUAAAGCACUUUCAGUGGGGAAGAAAGCCUUGGGGCUAAUACCCUCGAGGAAGGACAUCACCCACAGAAGAAGCACCGGCUAACUCCGUGCCAGCAGCCGCGGUAAUACGGAGGGUGCGAGCGUUAAUCGGAAUUACUGGGCGUAAAGCGCGCGUAGGCGGUCUGAUAAGCCGGUUGUGAAAGCCCCGGGCUCAACCUGGGAACGGCAUCCGGAACUGUCAGGCUAGAGUGCAGGAGAGGAAGGUAGAAUUCCCGGUGUAGCGGUGAAAUGCGUAGAGCUCGGGAGGAAUACCAGUGGCGAAGGCGGCCUUCUGGACUGACACUGACGCUGAGGUGCGAAAGCGUGGGUAGCAAACAGGAUUAGAUACCCUGGUAGUC